UUAUUUUAAGUUAAUAGUGUACUGGUUAUAACUAAUAUCAAAUCUUUACUAAUACUUGAUUUCUUUUUAUGAUGGUUGACUUUGCGAGAACUAACGGAGCAUUAGUGUCAAGAAUGGGCUGAGAUUCGAAUUCAGUCGGUUUUUCGCUCUUUUUUGACAAAAAGGGAUCAAGAUCGGGACCGUCCAUUUGACUUCACACGGAUCACCAUCUGCUUUCUCUCUCAAUGCUCACACAUCUGACAAAAAGGGAUGCCAAAAGCAGGGAAGUACAAUCUACAGGAAAAAGCAACACUUUACUUUUGUGUGAAAGACAGCUUGCUUGCUGCAGUCUGUAUAAUAUAUCAACACUCUUCCAUACACUGUUUGAAAGACAGCACUGCUUCCUUCAGUCUCUAUAAAUAAUCCAGAGAUAUCUACACUCUACUCACACUUUACAAACUCUCAACUACACUCAACUGAAAUUAAUAUAUCAAGUCUUUGCAUUCGGAUCUUGCGUUGUUUCUCGGCUCUCACAUCAAGGUUUUAAAAUUUUUGUCGGCUUUUCACAUCUCCCUCUUGCAUUGUUGUAAGUUCUUUCAGAUAUGACAUAGUGAAAGGAUAAAUUGUUUUUGUAGUUUUGAUUUUACUUUGUUCUGUU